UACGGAGGAUGCGAGCGUUAUCCGGAUUUAUUGGGUUUAAAGGGUGCGUAGGCGGCCGAGUAAGUCAGCGGUGAAAUUUUGCAGCUUAACUGUAACAGUGCCGUUGAUACUGCAUGGCUAGGAUUUGGUUGCUGUGGGUGGAAUGUGUGGUGUAGCGGUGAAAUGCUUAGAUAUCACACAGAAUAUCGAUUGCGAAGGCAGCUCACAAAGCCAAGAUUGACGCUGAGGCACGAAAGCGUGGGGAGCGAACGGGA
rnacentral:rRNA from 1 species